rnacentral:tRNA from 1 species
CGUGGUGUAGUGGCAGCAUAUCAGCCUUCCAAGCUGAGGGGAGGGGUUCGAUCCCCCUCG